AUGCCGGUUUUUUUUAAAACCACAUAUUUUUUCAAGAUAUUUCCAU
rfam:Picea glauca, whole genome shotgun sequence.